rnacentral:misc_RNA from 1 species
CUUUUCAAUACACGAAAGCUGCACAGCGCGGCUGUGGCGUCAUGCUAUUCUCUAUAUUUGAAUAGAUAUCUGUGACACGAAAACUCUAUAAAUAAACAAGUGUACAUAAACAGCGUACGUAGAUGACCUCUCAACAGUUAUCGCCGUCCUAUACUGAACGAUACUGGGAUUCGAGAGCGUUGUGUUUCAGGGAAUGUUAUCAGCCUGACGUGAUCCAUACUGAACAGACAAUCAGUGUGGCUUCAUUGGAUACAUUUACAACUGUGACAGUGGCGAUAUUAUUACACCAGACAUACACAUAAGUGGGACAACAGCUAUCCUGGUGUGGACUCAGAUCUUAGUCAGUACCAUCAACUAUGGGGAGACACGAGGUGCAGCUGCGACGAGGCCCGGGACGAGGACGAGGACGAGGACAAGGAAGAGGAAGAGGAAGAGAUCUGAGGUUUAUAUACACAAGCCACUUUGUUGGUGAGAGAGAGGUCGGACAUGCACCGGACAAUGCCCGAAGAGUGGAGGUGGUGCACAGGGACAUACAAGAUCAGGAACAAGUAGUCAUGUCUCAUGGAAGUCCCACGAGAGAGACAGGCUGGAGACAUUAUGGACAUCCAAGGGACAUACAGGACAUAGGCAGGAACAGCAGGAAGGACACUGUGGAAGAACAGGACACAGAUAUCAGAUUCAGUGAGAGAAGCUUAAAAUACCGACAUUCCGAUAGAAACAGCAGAUCUUGUUCACAUGAACAGAAUGGGUUGCCAGGGGUAAGGGUAAGUAGAUCUCGAAAAAGGCACCCUUCUUCUGAUGACUCAAAAGGAUCAGGCAUCUUUCGAGAUCCACAUGGGAGCAGGUCAUCGGAUGGACUCAGAAGAAUGAAAUACAAGCAGAAUAUUGACGAAAGAGUUGAUCAUUCAAACAACACAGGGUAUCACAAACCACAUGAACUGUUCAGAAGGGACCUGUCACCUGCUGAGCUUGGGUCAAAGAAGAAACGAAAACUAAAAAAAAGAAAUGAAAAUGGAAACAUUGAUGACAGAAUGAAGGAAUGCAAUGAUAGCAGAGUAAACCAUGACAUGACUACUGUUACCCUUGGUGAAAACACCGGCAUGGCUAAACCAGUUGAUUCAGAAGAGAAAUUGAAAUCGUCAAGCACAACAGAGAAAGAAGACCUGGCUAGUUUGAUUCUCCGAACAGUGUGUGUAGAUUUCCCCGGCAAAGUUGAUUUAGCAAGUCUGAGAAAAGCUCUACACCAAAAAAGGUAUAUCAAUUUUUCGAACUCGCAAACAUUGUAUGGCUUCCUGAAACAUUAUGACAACGUUUUCAAAAUAGAAGGAAACACUGAUAGAGAGGAGGGAAUGAUUGAAGAUGGUGAAGUCGAGGAUACAUUUGCUGAGGACAAGUUUUAUGUGACUGGACAUCCAAAUCUACUCCUGUGUCUGCAACAUUCAAAGCGUGUGGGAUCAUGUAAACAAGAUUGCGGGAGCCUUCAUGUAUGCAAAUAUUUCAUGUUGAAUAAAUGUGACAUGCAAGAACAGGGAAAGAAAUGCAUCUUUGGUCACGACAUGUACACAGAACACAACAAAGAGGUUAUGAGAAAAUCGUUGCUGCAAACAUUCAAAACUGAAAUUGAAAUCGAUGUCCUGCGUUUCCUAAGAUAUAGGAAUUCCACUACUGUUCCAGGAAUAUGUAAUUACUACAACAAACCAAUGGGCUGCAACAAGGCUGAAUGCGGAUUUCUCCAUGUGUGUGAAGCAUUCCUUCAUGGAACCUGCAGUACUUCAUACAGGUGCAAUCAUUCUCAUGAUGUUGGGGCAAACCAACCAUUACAUUGCCUUCGACGUAUUGGAAUAAAUCCAACGAAUGAUGAGGAGAAAGAAUUGGUUGUCAAAACCCUUAAAGCUAUAGCAAUCAACAAGAAUCAUAGUGUCAACCAGGGAAGAAAUGCUCAAGCUUCUACUGACAUACAUCAGUUGUCCACAGGUGGAUAUAACAAAGACAUGGCCAAAAACAAAUAAUGUGGCUCAAGUCUCAAGAUAUUUUUCUAGUACUGCGACUGGUCCUACUGAAACAAAGAAAGUCUCAGAGAAGCCUUCUGAAGCGAGUGACGAAGAUGGACAGCUUCGGGUGGAAGUGGAAGAUGAGGAAGAGGAGAAGGAACCAGAUGAAGAUCUCAGCACCUCGUGUACAGGGGACUGGACAUGGUCAUGGAUACACCCUCGUGGGACUCUGUGUAAUGUCACCGACAGUCACGCUUAUGAGCAAAGCUACAGAGAAUAUAUUCAAGCCAGGAAGAAGAGCUUUCUUAUCAAUGGUCAAAUGUGUGAGGUAGACUUUGCCACAAAGACUGGAGUGAUCGAUGGGGACGUUUCACUCAGUUUCAUGAGAGUCAGGACGCCAAAGAAGGACACAAAGUGUUCUUCUUCGGGCACAACGGGCCACUGUCCUGUUACCAAUGUUACUGAUUCUGAUGUAGGUGCUGCCACUGAUGUUGCUACAAGUGGUAGUUUAGCACAAUGUGUUAACGAUCUUCAUUCUGAAACACCAUAGACAGAAACCAGAAAUGAUCAGCAUCUGCUACUGCUAGUACUAAACCUUUGCACUUUGCUUGUGCAGGCAAAUAGAUUUAAUUUGUUUGUUGUCAUAUUUGUCUGAAACUAGACAAGAAGCUACGUUGACAAAUGUCUUCUCUCAAUUUCGUUCCUGUGUCUUACGCUAUGGAGUUUGUUUGAUUUCCUUGAUUUCCUUGGCAAUCAUAUUAUAAAGUUGCCUUUUUCUAUACCCGUGGCUAGUUUCCAGUAUGUUUUAUCAUAGCAUAACAACAUACUAAAACUACUACUACUACUACUACUACUACUACUACUACUACUACUACUACUACUACAGCUUCUGUUUCUAUUACCAUUAAUGCUAUCUUUUGGUUUGGUUUGGUCAUGGUCAACUCUCUGUCCUUGGACGGAUGAUAGGAAACAUGACAUAAAAGUUUGUGAUCUUUAUUGCUGACUAAACCUAUGGAGAAGAAACUACGGGAAUGACGUCAUUGAUGGUGUUAAAUGUUGAAGGCAACAUUGGUCAUCUAAAAUCCCAGUAAGAAGGUGAUAUCUACUUAGAGAAGCAUAGGGACAAGGGAGCAUGUUUUUACAUGUGUGUCUUGAAGAACUGUAUUAAAAGUACCGAAGAUGCCAAGAGGAAGUAGUAUAUCCAGGAAUGGAACUUGAACAUGAUGUCACAGCUUGAUAUGUGACGUAAUAAACAGCAUAAUCAUA